ensembl:lincRNA
CAAAUUUGUUACAAAAAUGCCAACGAAGGUUAAUCUCGGGUAAUCUAAUUCCGUUUCCUGGUGUUUUCUUUUUUCUUUUUUUCUUCCACUCGGCUCCACCUACAGAGAGGCCCAACAGGGGGCUCGCGCGCUCGUUUGGGCUCGGCGGCCGGAGAAGACCGGCGCACUGGGCCGAAGCCGCUCCGCCAAGGUUGGGUCGUGGCUGCCGGGACUCGUCGCCAGAAGGCCUCCUGGGCCGCCCUUCCGCUCUCCCGGGGCUGGGCGGCGCUGUCUGGCUCUUCCUGCCGCGCUCCGGCCACUCCCCCACCGCCCCUCGCUUGGCCCAGCCGUGGCUGCCGUGCUCUGCACGCAGUGCCUCCCUCGGGCGUGGGUCUGCAGGAGACCCAGACAGGGCAGCGGCCGGCACUACCGCGCCGCGAUUUGCACAGAGUUGAAGAAGACCCUGACCAUUGAAGAGGUGGCCCCCCGCCCCGUCGGGCUCACGAGAGAAAUUGAAAUUGUUUUAGUGAUGGCAGCAGCUGGAGCCACAGGCCUUGCGGUGAUGUGA